rnacentral:rRNA from 1 species
CAGUAGCCGCGGUAAUACGUAGGUGGCAAGCGUGGUCCGGAAUUAUUGGGCGUAAAGCGCGCGCAGGCGGAUAGGUCAGUCUGUCUUAAAAGUUCGGGGCUUAACCCCGUGAUGGGAUGGAAACUGCCAAUCUAGAGUAUCGGAGAGGAAAGUGGAAUUCCUAGUGUAGCGGUGAAAUGCGUAGAUAUUAGGAAGAACACCAGUGGCGAAGGCGACUUUCUGGACGAAAACUGACGCUGAGGCGCGAAAGCCAGGGGAGCGAACGGGAUUAGAUACCCCAGUAGUCCCUGUCUCUUAUACA